rnacentral:rRNA from 1 species
GACGAACGCUGGCGGCGUGCUUAACACAUGCAAGUCGAACGGAAAGGCCCUGCUUUUGUGGGGUGCUCGAGUGGCGAACGGGUGAGUAACACGUGAGUAACCUGCCCUUGACUUUGGGAUAACUUCAGGAAACUGGGGCUAAUACCGGAUAGGAGCUCCUGCUGCAUGGUGGGGGUUGGAAAGUUUCGGCGGUUGGGGAUGGACUCGCGGCUUAUCAGCUUGUUGGGGGGGUAGUGGCUUACCAAGGCUUUGACGGGUAGCCGGCCUGAGAGGGUGACCGGCCACAGUGGGACUGAGAUACGGCCCAGACUCCUACGGGAGGCAGCAGUGGGGAAUAUUGCACAAUGGGCGGAAGCCUGAUGCAGCAACGCCGCGUGCGGGAUGACGGCCUUCGGGUUGUAAACCGCUUUCGCCUGUGACGAAGCGUGAGUGACGGUAAUGGGUAAAGAAGCACCGGCUAACUACGUG